CCUCCUCCCUGGAACGCAGAGUGGUUCAGGGCUCCCCGCCCCAUCAUUUGCCCACCCCCUCUUUUUUGUGCCACCCCUUCUUUCUGGAAACCGGGGCCGUUCCCCCUCGGAGGUCUCCAGCUAGAGGCCCUAGAAACCUAUUACAUCCAAAAGUAUCCUUUGCUCCUUUUGCACCCCCUGCCCCCAACACCAAGACACAAACUAGUGACUGCAGAGGUCCUGGGACCUUGGAACGAAUCCCUGCGUGCGUGCUGGAGACAGAAGCACUUGUGUGUCACAUAGAAAAACAGGCGACCUAGGAGUUGAGAUUUCCCACUGAAGCUGGAUGCCAUGGCCCCAUUCACCAGCUUGACACUCAAGACUAUGCCCGGAGUUUAAACAGUCAGUCAGGAACUUGAUUUGGACAGACCCUGGAUUGGAAGCAAGACUGGCCAGGACUCCAAAGGAGCUUCAUGAGAAAGGACUAGAAAAGAUCACCCUGAGUGAGGUAACCCUGAUUCCAAAAGACAAGCACGACUGGUGCCUAGCACAACUGCCGCCAGAGAGACUUCACCCAGAAAAUGAUGGAAAUAGAUGCAGAGACCCACAGCCAAACAUUCAGAGGAGCUUGGGGAAGGAGGUGGUAGAGAAGACUGAAGGAGCCACAGGGGUCAAGGGUUCCACAAGAAAGCCUUCAGACUCAACUAAUCUGGGCUCAUAGGGACUCACAGAGACUGAACCUUCAAGCAGGGAGCCUGAAUGAGAUUGACCUCGGACCUCUGCACAUAUGUUACAGCGUGUAGUAUGAUCUUCCCAUGGUAUGCCUGACAGUGGGAGGAGAGGUUGUCUCUGACUCUAUUACCUCCCCUUGGGAUCCUUUCCUCCUACUGGGUUGUUCUUUUGUCUAGCUUUAAUAAAAGAGGAGGUGCCUCGU